rnacentral:rRNA from 1 species
GAUAAACGCUGGCGGCGUGCCUAAUACAUGCAAGUCGAGCGAACGGACGAGAAGCUUGCUUCUCUGAUGUUAGCGGCGGACGGGUGAGUAACACGUGGAUAACCUACCUAUAAGACUGGGAUAACUUCGGGAAACCGGAGCUAAUACCGGAUAAUAUUUUGAACCGCAUGGUUCAAAAGUGAAAGACGGUCUUGCUGUCACUUAUAGAUGGAUCCGCGCUGCAUUAGCUAGUUGGUAAGGUAACGGCUUACCAAGGCAACGAUGCAUAGCCGACCUGAGAGGGUGAUCGGCCACACUGGAACUGAGACACGGUCCAGACUCCUACGGGAGGCAGCAGUAGGGAAUCUUCCGCAAUGGGCGAAAGCCUGACGGAGCAACGCCGCGUGAGUGAUGAAGGUCUUCGGAUCGUAAAACUCUGUUAUUAGGGAAGAACAUAUGUGUAAGUAACUGUGCACAUCUUGACGGUACCUAAUCAGAAAGCCACGGCUAACUACGUGCCAGCAGCCGCGGUAAUACGUAGGUGGCAAGCGUUAUCCGGAAUUAUUGGGCGUAAAGCGCGCGUAGGCGGUUUUUUAAGUCUGAUGUGAAAGCCCACGGCUCAACCGUGGAGGGUCAUUGGAAACUGGAAAACUUGAGUGCAGAAGAGGAAAGUGGAAUUCCAUGUGUAGCGGUGAAAUGCGCAGAGAUAUGGAGGAACACCAGUGGCGAAGGCGACUUUCUGGUCUGUAACUGACGCUGAUGUGCGAAAGCGUGGGGAUCAAACAGGAUUAGAUACCCUGGUAGUCCACGCCGUAAACGAUGAGUGCUAAGUGUUAGGGGGUUUCCGCCCCUUAGUGCUGCAGCUAACGCAUUAAGCACUCCGCCUGGGGAGUACGACCGCAAGGUUGAAACUCAAAGGAAUUGACGGGGACCCGCACAAGCGGUGGAGCAUGUGGUUUAAUUCGAAGCAACGCGAAGAACCUUACCAAAUCUUGACAUCCUUUGACAACUCUAGAGAUAGAGCCUUCCCCUUCGGGGGACAAAGUGACAGGUGGUGCAUGGUUGUCGUCAGCUCGUGUCGUGAGAUGUUGGGUUAAGUCCCGCAACGAGCGCAACCCUUAAGCUUAGUUGCCAUCAUUAAGUUGGGCACUCUAAGUUGACUGCCGGUGACAAACCGGAGGAAGGUGGGGAUGACGUCAAAUCAUCAUGCCCCUUAUGAUUUGGGCUACACACGUGCUACAAUGGACAAUACAAAGGGCAGCGAAACCGCGAGGUCAGGCAAAUCCCAUAAAGUUGUUCUCAGUUCGGAUUGUAGUCUGCAACUCGACUACAUGAAGCUGGAAUCGCUAGUAAUCGUAGAUCAGCAUGCUACGGUGAAUACGUUCCCGGGUCU